CCUACGGGUGGCAGCAGUGGGGAAUAUUGGACAAUGGGCGAGAGCCUGAUCCAGCCAUGCCGCGUGUGUGAAGAAGGCCUUCGGGUUGUAAAGCACUUUCAGUGGGGAAGAAAGCCUUGGGGCUAAUACCCUCGAGGAUGGACAUCACCCACAGAAGAAGCACCGGCUAACUCCGUGCCAGCAGCCGCGGUAAUACGGAGGGUGCGAGCGUUAAUCGGAAUUACUGGGCGUAAAGCGCGCGUAGGCGGUCUGAUAAGCCGGUUGUGAAAGCCCCGGGCUUAACCUGGGAACGGCAUCCGGAACUGUCAGGCUAGAGUGCAGGAGAGGAAGGUAGAAUUCCCGGUGUAGCGGUGAAAUGCGUAGAGAUCGGGAGGAAUACCAGUGGCGAAGGCGGCCUUCUGGACUGACACUGACGCUGAGGUGCGAAAGCGUGGGUAGCAAACAGGAUUAGAUACCCCGGUAGUC
rnacentral:rRNA from 1 species